rnacentral:rRNA from 1 species
AUUGAACGCUGGCGGCAGGCCUAACACAUGCAAGUCGAGCGGAUAAAGGGAGCUUGCUCCUGGAUUCAGCGGCGGACGGGUGAGUAAUGCCUAGGAAUCUGCCUGGUAGUGGGGGAUAACGUCCGGAAACGGGCGCUAAUACCGCAUACGUCCUGAGGGAGAAAGUGGGGAUCCUCGGACCCCACGCUAUCAGAUGAGCCUAGGUCGGAUUAGCUAGUUGGUGGGGUAAAGGCCUACCAAGGCGACGAUCCGGAACUGGUCUGAGAGGAUGAUCAGUCACACUGGAACUGAGACACGGUCCAGACUCCUACGGGAGGCAGCAGUGGGGAAUAUUGGACAAUGGGCGAAAGCCUGAUCCAGCCAUGCCGCGUGUGUGAAGAAGGUCUUCGGAUUGUAAAGCACUUUAAGUUGGGAGGAAGGGCAGUAAGUUAAUACCUUGCUGUUUUGACGUUACCAACAGAAUAAGCACCGGCUAACUUCGUG